rnacentral:rRNA from 1 species
CAGCUGCUUGAAGUGCGAAGUCUGAUGCAGCCCGCCGCGUGAGUGAUGAAGGCCUUCGGGUUGUAAAGCUCUUUUACUUGGGAAGAAAAUAUCUGUACCUAUCUGAGGUGGACCGGACCGUUUCAUUCCAGCCCCCCCGCCACUAUUAUAUG